UUUAUUUUCACUAAAAAUGGAGUAAUUUAUAUAAAAUAUUCAUUCUGAUAUUUAAAAAUAAAUAAUUCACUUUCAUAUAAUUUUUUGUGAAUAUAGUAAAUGAUAUUGUAGCAAGCACAAUUAGCCCGGGCCCUAUAAAAAACCCCAAACAAAAAAAUACAAUACACGAGCCCAAACAUUAACCCUAAGCCCAAAGUUAUAACAGCCCAACAAGCCCAAAAGUUUAAGCCAAAGCAAACCCUAGCCGCAUGUUCAGCUUAGCGCCGCAAGCUCCACCUCCAGCAUGCUCUCCAGGCGCCGCAGGACUCGGAGUCGACUGCCUCUGCACGAGUUGAAAUCUCCACAACGCCUGCAAAAAAGCAAACUCAAAGAAUCCGAAAAGAAAAAACAACAAAGAAAACAAUUUUUAUUUGUUUUAUUUUCUUUUUUUCGGGCUAUAUAAAGCCAUAUUCUGUAAAGUGUAAGAGGGGAUUCAGUGUAAAAAAGGGACGAAAAGAGAGAAAAAUACAAAGAAACGAAAUAGAUACAGAAAUUUUUCGAAUAUAUAAGGUGUCUUUUCCAUUUUUCAUCUUUCUUAGUUUCGUUUUGUUUUUUUUCCUUUUAGCUUUAUUUUAUUUUAUUUUAUUUUUUAUUUAAAAUAUAAAGAAAGGAGGAAAGGACUUACCUGGUCGCCGGAGUUGUCGAGCCGGUGUCUUCUCCGGCGAAAUCGGGGCAUGGGGCACUAGGCUCGAAAAGCGGCACAAGGAAGGAGGGGGUUUUGAAACCCUAAUAGAGAAAAAGAAAAAAGAAUCAAGGGUUUUUUUUGUCUGUUUUAGUUAUAAAUGUUUUUUUUUUGUAAAAUUUGGUUUAAAUAGGAAGGAUAAAACGGCGCCGUUUCAGCCUUACGACCCACGCGGUGACCCGACCCAGGGAAGGAUCCGCGCAUUUCUGUAAAAGGGGCCAAUUUCACAUUUGGUCCUCUGUUUUAUGAGGGGUGUUUAAAUCAGUCUUUUUAUUUUUUUUAAAUUUGGCCAUAUGUUUUAAUAAUGUUCCAAUUUGGCCCAUGUUGCUGCGCAGCAUUUGGGAGGUUUGGGUAAAUUACCCUUUCGAUCCUCCUACUGUUGCGCGCAUCUUAAUUUGGUCCUUAUUUAAUUCCCAUCUUUAAAUUUGGUUUCAAAACUUCGUUUAUUUCUAAUUUAAUCCUUAAUUUGUUAUUUUUCUUUUUAUAUUUUUUAAUUAUGUUAUAUAUUAUUAUUAUUAUUAUUAUUACCAUUAUUAUUAUAUACACAGAUGCAUAUUCUCUACAAUAAUAUAUACAUACAUUUUUUAAAAUGAUUUUUAUAAACCCAUGCACCUUACAUAUAUAUAUUUAUUAUUAUUAUUCUACUUGCAUAACUUUUACAUACUUUCAUAUACAUUUAUAUUUUAUAUAGAUAUGCAUUGUUGUAACAUAUUUAUUUCCUAUAUUUUAUAAUUUAAAGCAUACAUGCAUUCUCUGUUACAUAUACGUACACAUUUUUCUUUAUUAUUUUAUAUAUUUCAUUAUUUUAUAUACAUAUUGUGCAUAUAUAAGUAUUUAAAUUUCAAUACAUACGUAUUUCCAUGACUUACCAAUACAUGUACUUAUACUUUUUCUUUUUUUUUUUGUAAAUAUAUACACAUGUACAUUUUAAAUUAAAGUAUUUGUACCAUUUUGUACGUGAACCUUUAAACAUAACUUUUGGGAAAUAUAUUUUGGUUUUGGCAAAGCAUUAAAAUCGUUUUUAUUUUUAAAUAUUUGGCUUUCAUGAUUCUCGAGAAGGAUCGUGUCCUAACUUACUGGAUUGCGAUUAUUUUUUGAUGAAUUUAGAGAGCUCAAUAUUUGUUUUGCAAUAAAUUCACAAAUUUUAAAUAAAAGCUUAUUCUCGGGAAUUCAAAAUGUUGGGUCCUAACUUACUGGUCAUGACAUUUUCUUUUCGAGAUAAGAAUUUUCAAAAGCAAAAGGCAAUAUUCGGGUAUUUUGGAGAUUUAAAAACAUUGUGCCCUAACUCACUGGGUGUGGUGUUUUAUUUCUUUGAAAUGUGAAUGUCUUACUUUUUUAUUCAUGAAAUAAAGAGUUUUCUUUUAAAAUCUUUUCAAAUUUUCGACACCAAGACAUUAACAAAAAUCAAAUUGGUACCAAUUUUGGGCGUUACGAGGGUGCUAAUCCUUCCUCGUGCAUAACUGACUCCCGAACCUGUUUUCUCAAAUUUCGCAAACCAAAAUUAUUUUUUAAGAUGGGCCAAUCACGCCUUAAUAAAGGAUCGGUGGCGACUCUAUUUUUUGUUUUUUUAAGUCGAUAACCAAAAUUUUUGUUUUCAAAAAACGGUUUCGACAGCUUGGCGACUCCGCUGGGGACUUUUAGAGAAUCGAGCCAUGAAUUGGUUAUGUUUUGUCUUCUUGUCGAAAAUCAAAAGUUUUUAAAAAGAACGUGAUUUCUCUUCGCAUUCAUUGAUUUUUAUCAUGGGGUUUGCAUGAUUGGAUCAAGUCGGUUACUUUGUAUUUGCAUUUUGCAUUACAUGGUUCGUUUUACCCCCUUAAGUGGGAGCGAGAAACUAGUCCUUCGUGAGGUUUUCACCUCCGUGCAGGGUAGUGGACCGCUUCCGGGAUACAGCCGUACCUAUGUCUUCGUGAGAUUUUCAUCUCCGUGCAGCCAUAGGGAAAUGUAUUCCCCUGAACUGAACUCGAUCCAUAUGAGCCUAUAAUGGGUGAAGAUCGAGGAAUCUGCUGGUUCGGGUACCUUUACCUUAGAAGCCAAACCGCAUAUAGUGAACCUUAGGAACUUACCCUAGGUAGAAUUACUCUAAACCUUAGUAGAUACCUGACUAGGAGUUUUUAUUAUUUCUUGAUUGUAUUGGAUUUAAUGUUUAUACUCGAUACUAACCCGUUUUGUUUUGUUUUGGUUAUGAUUGCAUUGCAUUUGCAUUGUAGAAAAGAGAUGUUGAUUCAAGUAUGAUUACUAAUUUAGAAAGCCUAUCAUAAGAAAACGGGUUUCUUGAUAAAAUGGAAAAUAGUACGGCAGCCUGAAUAUAUUCCAAGAAAUACAAGAAGGGCGAUGGAAGAAUUCGUGACUUUACUUUGGGGCCCGAGGAUUCAAGAUGAUUGUCUAAGAGCUUUCAAAAUUCUAAAUUUCUUAAAGAAGCUAAUGAGCAUUACGAGGAUAGGCAGACAACAGAUUGCGACCAGAAUCAAGCAGAAGGAGCUAGCAGUGACAUCCUUUGGAAGUUCACGAGGUUUAUCUUAACAUCCGGACGAAGAGGGAGUAGAUGUCUUUGCUUGGAGUAUGAGGGCAAAGCCGUAUAUAUAACUGCUUUAUGUAAAGAAAUUUGUCCUCUAGUAAAUUUUUCUAAAUAGAAUUGAAUCAGAAUUAACGUCUCUUUAUGCAUUCAUCUCAUGCAUUGCAUCAUAUGCAUUAAAAACAUUUAAUUGAUCCUAAUUAAUUAAAAUUAUUGCUCAGUUAACCUGGAAACCAACCAACCCGACAUCGAUACGGCACUCGAGCAAAGACAAAAGAUAUGGAUCAGAGAUUAGAAAAGCUCGAAUAGUACCAGAAGGAGAUGCAAGACCGGCUUCAGCUACAAAUGCAGGAGCGGUUAGACAAGAUGAAACAAGAGAUGUCUGAGAAGAUGCGAUAAUCCCAAGAAGAUAUAGUGGCAAAGUUAACCCAACUGAUAACUAAGGGAAGUGAUAAAGGAAAGGGCCCCAUGGCAAAUGUCGAUGAGGAAAAUGAUGAUGAAAUUUUUUACCCUCCAGGUUUCACCCCUCCACAUAUACGAGCCCAAGCUGAAUACCCGCACAAAUCUACUGUCAUUAUCAUGCCUCAGCAGUUUCGGGCUGGUAUUUCGAACCUCCAAACUGGGCCGAGUUCUAAUCCUGAAAAUAAUCCUGUUAACUCUGUCAUUCCUGACUUUGAUGAAGUGGUUGAGAAGGAAAGAAUGAAGGAGGAGUUACCGAAACAGUUAGAGGAAAGGUGUAGGUGGCUCGAGGAGAAGUUCAAGGCAAUGGAGGUCACUGAGAGUUAUCGAGGCAUUGACGCAAAAGAGCUGAGUUUAGUACCAGAUUUAGUACUUCUUCAUAAGUUUAAGAUGCCUGAAUUUGAAAAGUACAAUAGGACAAGCUGCCCAGAAGCUCACAUCACCAUGUUCUGUAGGCGAAUGGCGGGAUAUGUUAACAACGACCAACUCUUGAUACAUUGUUUCCAAGACAGCCUUGCAGGGGCAGCAUCCAAAUGGUACAAUCAAUUGAGUCGUCCCACGAUUGGUUCAUGAAGGGACUUGGCGCAAGCAUUCAUGAAACAAUAUAGUCAUGUGACAGGCAUGGCUCCUGAUAGAAUCACCCUUCAGAAUAUAGAGAAGAAGCCGAGCGAAAGCUUUAGGCAGUAUGCACAGUGAUGGAGGGAGGUCGCAGUCCAAGUUCAGCCACCACUCUUGGAAAAGGAAAUGACCAUGCUAUUCAUUAACACCCUGAAAGCACCUUUCAUCACACAUAUGUUAGGAAGUGCCACAAAAAGCUUUCCUGACAUAGUCAUGAAUGGUGAAAUGAUUGAGAGCGCUAUAAGGAGCGGGAAAAUUGAUGCAGAGGAGAGUAACAAGAGGUUAGUCCCAAGGAGAAGAGAAAAUGAGGUGAACAACACGGGUUACUCUGAAUCAUUUACUGUUAGUCAUCCAGGAAAGGGGGUUGCUAGUCAACAAAGUUCAUUGAGACAGGAAUCUGGAGAGAAACCAGGUACUGAGAAGCUCCAGUUCACGCCAAUUUCGAUGUCGUAUAAGGAGCUAUACCAAAGUUUAUUCGAUGCACACGUUGUUUCUCCUUCCUACAUAAAACCCCCACAACCUCCGUAUCCCAAGUGGUAUGAUGCGAACGCACAAUGUGACUACCAUGCGGGAAUUACAGGGCACUCAAUCGAGAAUUGCAUUACCUUCAAAAAGCUAGUUGAAAAACUCAUCAACAUGGGUGUUGUCAAGCUUGAUGACUCAUCAAGUGCAAAAAAUCCACUUCCCAAUCAUGAUUGACAAUAAGGUGGAUGCAAUAUAUGAAGAGGUGCUGGGGGUGUUCACAUCAGUGACAUAUACGAAGAAACAACUGAAGAAGGGACCUUGUCAGAUAUUCGCCCUUGUAAACCUGAGAGUGUUCUAAAUAAUUGGACCGCAGAAGAAACCUUGUAGUAUUUAGAGUUUGUUAGAGUAAUGUUCAGAACACACUUGUUGCUUUUAGCCUAGAAGCAAUAAGAAUUUCUUUGUAAAAUAGGCUGACGUCUGAAUAUUAUUAUUUUAAUGAAUACAUUAUUGCAAUCAUCUUUGAGCAAAUGUUCUUUCAGUCUUUACGUUUUCUUCAUUCUAUUGGAUUUCUCCUGCCAAAUCAUUCAUUCGUUCAUUCAUAUUAUUCAUACAUUCUUUUGUAUAUUUUUUGGUACCCACUAUAGGUCCCCAAAUAUCAAUGACAUGAAUGACACUGCUAUAGAUUUAGAAUCUCCUUUUGAGUGAGACAUGUGUUUAGAGGGAUCUCACAACUUUGAAGAUGACAUGGAUCAUAGCUUAUUUCUGGACUUAUUAAGGAUGGUAGAGCAGGAAGAAAAUUUUACCUCAUGAGGAGACAAUGGAGACUGUGACCUUGAGGGAACAUGCAUGACCGAAAAAACAAAGUAAGACGUUGUUGGGUUACUUCAAGCAUUCAAAGAUGCCUUCGCAAGGUCAUACCAGGAUGUGCCUGGUUUAAGCGCUAUUAUUGCAAUCUGAACAACAGCACGAUAUCAGAAAUUUGCAGUAUGUUCAAGGUGAAUAUCAUGAAUGGUGCAGUGAAAACUCUACCGGGGCAAUACCACUCUUUUCAGUUUAUCACAAUUUUUUCAUUGAAGUUGAAAUUCUUUCUCUUCAGGUUUUGACUGAGCUGAAGUAGGAUGAAGAUCCAAUCCCGAUACGAUUAGUUAAAUCUACUUGAAGAAAAAGGCUAGAAACUAUUCAUCAUGGUCAGAUGUACCAAGAAACGAAUGAUGCAAGCCUAUAACAAAAGGUUCAUCCUAGAGAAUUCCACGAGGGUGACCAAAUGUUGAAGAUCCUCCCUCUACAAAAAAUAUUAUGGAGGGAAACAGAUGCCAAAUUGGGUGGAACCUUAUGAUUAUAGAGAAGGUUUUUUUUUCCAAAGGAACUUUGAUUUUGAACGAGAUGGAUGAUAAACCUGUAAACUCAGACUCAGUCAGAAAAUUCUCCACCUAAAGAAGGAGAGGACCAAGGUAAAAACCCGCAAAGGGAAGUUUGAGUCCAAAAAAAAAAGAAAAAAGAAAAAGAAAAGAAAAAGAAGUGAUGUGAAAAAAUGAAAAGAUGAAAAUGAAAAAGUAAAACCGGAGAGGCUAAGGUGAAAACUCGCAAAGGACGCCUUAGACCAAAGGGAAUUUGAGUUGAAAACCCAAAAAAGGCAGCUCAAAUGUUGAUCAAAAUGGCGUUUGAAAUUUUCAAAGUAGCUCAAAUACUGAUCAGAAUGGGGGCAUGCAGUGGUCUUGCUAUACCUGAAUUAACAGGAAAGGGUAGGCGACAUCUUGGGGCAUCGACAAAGUACUCCUAAACACAUGUUAAACUCAGAAUGGUCUUCAGAAAGUCUGUACAGUAAAGUUCAAGCUGCGAUAUCUGGGGCACCUAAUCCUUAUACUAUUUUUGUUAUUCUUGGAACACUUUAUUCAUUUCUAAGAUACGCAUUCCUAAAUCAAUGUCUUUGUUAUCCAUCUUUAUUAUCUCUGAUAAUUUAUUCAUUUCGAGUUAUGCUCAGAACCAAUUCAAUUUUAUCUAUCAUUUUGUUCUCUUUGCAAGUGUGUUGCAUUAGAGUAAUGAUUAAUAGACUAAUAAAACUUUCACAAGAGAAGUUUUGCAUAUUACUCUAGAAGUUUCUAAAUAAUAUAGGAACCUUAAGCAGGACUAUUGUUUAGAACGCACCAAGUUCAAAGGUUGGAAAUCUAAUAAGGAAGAGUCUAAAUUAAGACUAUCUCUUUGAAUUUUGUUGUCUAAAACAUCGUUUGAACAAAAUGGCAAUAUGUCGUGUUUGUGACAAAGCUUAGAUGAACAAGCAAGCAAUGAUCACCGAAUAAUAAUAAGAAUUUGUUCUUGGAGAAGAAAAUUCUUCAUUUGUGCAUGAGCAUUUGGUAGGACACCUUGGGAAUGGUGUAAGAGACCAAAGAGUUUCACAUCCUGUAUCCUUGAAUUGUGAUAACAAAGGAUUGAGAAAAGGCUGAAUCUUUUUACUCUUGGGUUACAAUGGGAGAAAGAUGGUACAAAUUUUGCGCCCCAAUAGAUCAAACUUGGAGGUUUACAGUAGGGGGCAAUCUGGUCAAGUGUUUCUUUAGAGACGCCAGCCGAGCAAGAAGACGCUAUAACACAUUAGCGAUAAAAAUUUAACUUUGAGUAAUGACAACUCAAGUGAUAAAGAAGGAUCAUUCUCAAAACAUAACAUUCUGUAUUCAUUCAAAUGUCAUUCAUACACGUCUAGUUAGGAGCAUUUGAUUCAUUCUGAUCAUGUCAUCCUAAUCACUAGGCAUAAUUAGGUUCAUAAAUUGAAUUAUACAGGUCAUGUUCUCCAGAGAAUAAACCGGUAAAACCAUAGAUUUUACUUCCUUAGCAGUGCAGUAGAACAGAUUGAAGCUACGACGGCGGAUCUGGUUUCCCUGAUAUUGCAAUUAAAAAGAUUGAAGCCACAACGGCGGAUCUUACUUCCUUAGCAGUGCAGUGGAACAGAUUGAAGCUACAGCGGCGGAUCUGGUUUCCCUGAUAUUGCAAUUAAAAAGAUUGAAGCCACAACGGCGGAUCUUACUUCCUUAGCAGUACAGUGAAACAGAUUGAAGCUACGACGGCGGAUCUGGUUUCCCCGACAUUACAGUUGAACAAAUUGAAGAUUUCAGAUCUUGUCUCCCUAAGUAGUAGUGGAGCAGAUUGAAGAUGGCGGAUUUUACCUCCCUGAGGUUGCAGUGGAGUACAUUGAAGCCAGUAAUUCUACUUCCCUGGACAGCAGCGAAAUAGAUUGAAGAUUUCAAAUCUUGUCUCCCUAAGCAAUAGUGGAGCAGAUCAAAGAUGGCAGAUUUUACCUCCCCGUGGUUACAGUGGAGUACAUUGAAGCCAGUAAUUCUACUUCCCUGGGCAGCAGCGGAAUAGAUUGAAGAUUUCAGAUCUUAUCUCUCUAGGCAGUAGUGGAGCAGAUCAAAGAUGGCGGAUUUUACCUCCUUGAGGUUACAGUGGAGUACAUUGAAGCCAGUAAUUCUAUCUCCUUGGGCAGCAGUGAAAUAGAUUGAAGAUUACAGAUCUUACCUCCCUAGGCAGUAAUGGAGCAGAUCGAAGACCCCAGUCUUAUCUCUCUGAAGUUGCAGUGGAGCAAACAGAAGAAAGUAAUCCUAUCUCCCUAAAGUUGCAGUGGAGCGGAUUAAAACCGCAGGUCUCAUCUCUCUGAAGUUGUAGUAGAGCAGGUUGCGUCAAGAUUUAUCUUUUAGUUGUAGCAGAACAAGUUGAAGCUAUAAGUCUUAUCUUCCUGAAGUUGCAGUGGAGCAGACUAAAGAUAGUAAAUUUUGUUCUUUUGAGAAGCCACAAGGUGCGAAUCCUAUCUCCCUGACGUUGCAGUGGAGUGGAUCAAAGCACUGUUUCCUAUACCUCUGAAGAUGCAGUAGGAGGGAAUAAUGCUACCUGAAGUAGAAAAGCACUGAAGAAAUCAAGGCUUAGUAAGACCGGGCACAAUUGGACCUUUUAGUCUUUGCUCUGUUCUCGUUACACGACAACGAGCAAAGAGGGGCAGCUGUAGCAGGCCCAAUUAGCCCGGGCCCUAUAAAAAACCUCAAACAAAAAAAUACAAUACACGAGCCCAAACAUUAACCCUAAGCCCAAAGUUAUAACAGCCCAACAAGCCCAAAAGUUUAAGCCAAAGCAAACCCUAGCUGCAUGUUCAGCUUAGCGCCGCAAGCUCCACCUCCAGCAUGCUCUCCAAGCGCAGCAGGACUCGGAGUCGACUGCCUCUGCACGCGUUGAAAUCUCCACGACGCCUGCAAAAAAGCAAACUCAAAGAAUCCGAAAAGAAAAAAACAACAGAGAAAACCAUUUUUAUUUGUUUUAUUUUCUUUUUUCGGGCUAUAUAAAGCCAUAUUCUGUAAAGUGUAAGGGGGGAUUCAGUGUAAAAAAGGGACGAAAAGAGAUAAAAAUACAAAGAAACAAAAUAGAUAUAGAAAUUUUUCGAAUAUAUAAGGUGUCUUUUCCAUUUUUCAUCUUUCUUAGUUUCGUUUUGUUUUUUUUCCUUUUAGCUUUAUUUUAUUUUAUUUUAUUUUUUAUUUAAAAUAUAAAGAAAGGAGGAAAGGACUUACCUGGUCGACGGAGUUGUCGAGCCAGUGUCUUCUCCGGUGAAAUCGGGGCAUGGGGCACUAGGCUGGAAAAGCGGCGCAAGGUAGGAGGGGGUUUUGAAAGCCUAAUAGAGAAAAAGAAAAAAGAAUCAAG
rnacentral:lncRNA from 1 species